UACGUAGGUGGCGAGCGUUAUCCGGAAUUACUGGGCGUAAAGAGCUCGUAGGUGGUUUGUCACGUCGUCUGUGAAAUUCCGGGGCUUAACCUCGGGCGUGCAGGCGAUACGGGCAAUACUUGAGUGCUGUAGGGGAGACUGGAAUUCCAGGUGUAGCGGUGGAAUGCGCAGAUAUCUGGAGGAACACCAGUGGCGAAGGCGGCCUCCUGGACCAUUCCUGACACUCAGACGCGAAAGCUAGGGUAGCAAACGGGAUUAGAUACCCCGGGUAGUCCCU
rnacentral:rRNA from 1 species